rnacentral:rRNA from 1 species
CUAAUACCGGAUGUGGUUGGCUGGUGGCAUCAUCGGCCAACUGAAGUUGGGGACCGAAAGGCCUGACGCUUCAGGAUAAGCCCGCGGCCUAUCAGCUAGUUGGUGAGGUAACGGCUCACCAAGGCUAAGACGGGUAGCUGGUCUGAGAGGACGACCAGCCACACUGGAACUGAGACACGGUCCAGACUCCUACGGGAGGCAGCAGUGGGGAAUCUUGGACAAUGGGCGCAAGCCUGAUCCAGCCAUGCCGCGUGAGUGACGAAGGCCUUCGGGUUGUAAAGCUCUUUUGCCAGGGACGAUAAUGACGGUACCUGGAGAAUAAGCCCCGGCAAACUUCGUGCCAGCAGCCGCGGUAAUACGAAGGGUGCAAGCGUUAAUCGGAAUUACUGGGCGUAAAGGGAGCGUAGGCGGCUUUUUAAGUCGGAUGUGAAAUCCCCGGGCUUAACCUGGGAAUGGCAUCCGAUACUGGGGAGCUAGAGUUUGGGAGAGGGUUGAUGGAAUUCCCGGUGUAGCGGUGAAAUGCGUAGAGAUCGGGAGGAACAUCAGUGGCGAAGGCGGUCACCUGGCCUAAAACUGACGCUGAAGCUCGAAAGCGUGGGGAGCAAACAGGAUUAGAUACCCUGGUAGUCCACGCCCUAAACGAUGAGAACUGGACGUUGGGAGGAAUUUGCCUCUUAGUGUCGAAGCUAACGCGUGAAGUUCUCCGCCUGGGGAGUACGCUCGCAAGAGCGAAACUCAAAGGAAUUGACGGGGGCCCGCACAAGCGGUGGAGCAUGUGGUUUAAUUCGA